UGGAUCCAGAACUUUGAUUAUUGGCUCAGGACGAACGCUGGCGGCGUGCUUAACACAUGCAAGUCGAACGAGAGGACAAGAGAAGCUUGCUUCUUUUGGAAUCGAGUGGCAAACGGGUGAGUAACACGUAAACAACCUGCCUUCAGGAUGGGGACAACAGACGGAAACGACUGCUAAUACCGAAUACGCUUGGGAGACCGCAUGAUCUUCCAAGGAAAGGGUGGCCUCUACUUGUAAGCUAUCGCCUGAAGAGGGGUUUGCGUCUGAUUAGGCAGUUGGUGAGGUAACGGCCCACCAAACCUACGAUCAGUAGCCGGUCUGAGAGGAUGAACGGCCACACUGGAACUGAGACACGGUCCAGACUCCUACGGGAGGCAGCAGUGGGGAAUCUUCCGCAAUGGGCGAAAGCCUGACGGAGCAACGCCGCGUGAGUGAUGACGGCCUUCGGGUUGUAAAGCUCUGUGAUCGGGGACGAACGGUCCGUAAGUCAAUACCUUAUGGAAGUGACGGUACCCGAAUAGCAAGCCACGGCUAACUACGUGCCAGCAGCCGCGGUAAUACGUAGGUGGCAAGCGUUGUCCGGAAUUAUUGGGCGUAAAGCGCGCGCAGGCGGCUUUCUAAGUCCAUCUUAAAAGUGCGGGGCUUAACCCCGUGAUGGGAUGGAAACUGGGAAGCUGGAGUAUCGGAGAGGAAAGUGGAAUUCCUAGUGUAGCGGUGAAAUGCGUAGAGAUUAGGAAGAACACCGGUGGCGAAGGCGACUUUCUGGACGACAACUGACGCUGAGGCGCGAAAGCGUGGGGAGCAAACAGGAUUAGAUACCCUGGUAGUCCACGCCGUAGACGAUGAAUACUAGGUGUAGGAGGUAUCGACCCCUUCUGUGCCGGAGCUAACACAAUAAGUAUUCCGCCUGGGAAGUACGAUCGCAAGAUUACAACUCAAAGGAAUUGACGGA
rnacentral:rRNA from 1 species